UUCGAACUCAUUCGAUAUAAUCUUGAAAUUAUUUUUCUUAUUUAACAAAUAUGUUAAGUUAAAUUUCUUGAAUAUCACAUUAUAGGUCAUUGCUGAGUUUUAAUAUAUAUAUAUAUAUAUACAUGCAUACGUAUAUCAACAUAUGUGUGUGUAUAUGUGUAGAAAUCUACAAGGUGGUAUUUGGCAAGUGAUGAAAAAGAGAAAACGUGAAAGAGAACGACGGGAGGGGAAUAAAUUCGAUGAUCAAAGUGCCUGGAUAGGACAAGCAAAGCUUCUCGGUUGGGGUCCUUUAGGGUUUACCAACGUAUUAUAAUUACGUAGAGAUUCUGAAGGACAACGUUACAAAGCGACGGUAACAAAACGAAUUUGUAAAUAACAAAGGACAAUGGAAGGGCGCAUCAUGAUACGCGCGGCAAAUCUACC